rnacentral:rRNA from 1 species
UGGGAGACAGCCACGUCGAGCAGGUACGAAAGUAGGUCUUAGUGAUCCGGUGGUUCUGAAUGGAAGGGCCAUCGCUCAACGGAUAAAAGGUACUCCGGGGAUAACAGGCUGAUACCGCCCAAGAGUUCAUAUCGACGGCGGUGUUUGGCACCUCGAUGUCGGCUCAUCACAUCCUGGGGCUGAAGUUGGUCCCAAGGGUAUGGCUGUUCGCCAUUUAAAGUGGUACGCGAGCUGGGUUUAGAACGUCGUGAGACAGUUCGGUCCCUAUCUGCCGUGGGCGUUUGAGAAUUGAGAGGAGCUGCUCCUAGUACGAGAGGACCGGAGUGGACGAACCACUGGUGUUCGGGUUGUCAUGCCAAUGGCAUUGCCCGGUAGCUAAGUUCGGAACUGAUAACCGCUGAAAGCAUCUAAGCGGGAAGCAGGCCUCGAGAUGAGUUCUCACUGGAGCUUUAAGCUCCCUGAAGGGCCGUUGGAGACUACAACGUUGAUAGGCAAGGUGUGUAAGUGCUGUGAGGCAUUGAGCUAACUUGUACUAAUUACCCGUGAGGCUUAACCAUACAA